AAAAGGAAGCAAUGGAAGACAUGACAAGAACAAAUCCUUACCUCUUGUUGAUUUUAAAUGAAGAAUAGUAGUUAAAUGUGACAGACUAACUUGGAGACGAUAACAGAGUAGACCACAACACAGACAAAGUUUUGGCUGAUAAAGACUAAUAAGGCAUGAGGAAAAGAAAGAAGCGCCAUGGCACCAGCCCGGGAUCUCUCCCACCAUUGAAGAAUGCAAAACAACCAAAAAUUGAUGAGCACUUUGCUGACCAGAGAUUUGACUCGGGGCGGCUCACACAAUAAAAACCACAACAAUAAAAUACUAAAACAUACAGAAGAAGGAGAAGGAGAAGGAGAA